rnacentral:lncRNA from 1 species
CACCCUUACAACUACCCUACAACAGCACUAUCCAAGAAGAAGACGAGGAAAAUUAAAUUUUUCUUACCUCGGUGUGGUGCAAAGAAGACGAAGAAAGCAACGAAAAACGGUCCUUUGCACGAGCAAGUGUAGAAGAUUGCUAGGGGAGGGGGAACAAAUAUCCUUUAGUUUUCUCUCUCUUGUAGGGUAGAAUAAAUUGCUCUUUGAAGUUGAUUUAAUCAUCUACUUAAGGUAGACUUAAAUAGACUUUAGAAGUGUUUUAUUUUCCUUUCCUAGAAGGAUCUAAUUUCCAAUCAAAUAGGGAAUCUACAUCAAAAUAGGAAACAAUAUUAUGUUUCGUAAAGUAAGGGAAGAUCUCUACACCUGUUGUCCUUUCAUGUGAGUAGCCCAACAGGUGUGGGGGCAUUUGUGGAGCCAAAAAUAAUCAAGAAAAUUAUGGAGGCGAAACGUGAACUUUUGGAUGAAAAAGAUAAAAUUACCCUUAAGGCACACUGGGAUUCCCACGAGCAUGCAACAGACAAUAACGGCUCAAUCAAGGUCAAAGGUGAUCAAAAUGGUAUUUAUUCAAAACACUCUCAUCACUCCUCAUCAAAUCCUCACCCACAAGGUAACUCCCAAUUAUUCUUUUCAAAUUGGGAUUAAUUACCAAAUUAAUUGCAAGAUAUUAUUUGACAUAAUAUCUUUCCAUUAUAUUUAAAACACCACCAUAAGUGGCCGGUCCCUAUUUCUCCAAAUAGGGUCAGCCACACCCCUAUAUAUAGUCCCAUAUUUAUCCAAAAACCUAAGUUCAUUCUCUCCCUAAAAUUCUCUAAACACUGUCUCUCUUAAAUUAUAACUUUAGCAUUGUAAAUUAUCUUAACACACAAAUUUAACCCUCUUUUGACAAUUGUAGUACAAGUAUAAGUAGGGAUCGUUCUGGACCGGGGAUUAGGAGGGCUUGCUAAUAACCUCUAAACUGACUUAAAAACAUAAAACUAAACUUAAAAACACUUAACAAGAUUCACAAUACUCAAAGCAAACUUAAAAUACUCAAAACAGCUUAAAACAACCAAAUAAACUUAAACUAGACACUAGGAAUGACUUUGGAUGAAAAUUGAUUUUUACUUGAAUCAAAACACUUAAAAACACAAACUAAAAUAGAUUUGAAACACUUUGAAACAAGAAACUAAAAGGGGGGGUUUUGAUUGGGAUGAAGUUGAAACAAACAAACAAGUAUGAAAAACUAGACAGAUUGUAAAACAAAUUUGAGAAAUAAGAUGAUGGAUGGGAUAGUUAGAGGCUUUUUCUCCACACAUGACAUGUAUGCAAAUAACUUAAUUUCCAGUUAUUACUUCAUUGAAUUAUGAAUGACAAUGCCCCAAAUUAAUCGUGACAUCACUAGUUAACUCUCAGAUUUUCCUUGUUUUAUUGGAUUGGAUGACA